rnacentral:RNase_P_RNA from 1 species
CGAGUGAGCCGGGCAAUCGCGUGCGCAAGCAUGAGGAAAGUCCGGGCUCCCAAGGGCAAGAUGCCAGCUAACGGCUGGGCGGGGCGACCCGACGGACAGUGCCACAGAAAAGAAGACUCCCCUGCGUGCAGGAGAAAAGCUGAAACGGUGCGGUAAAAGCGCACCAGUGCGUUGGCAACAACGUAGCUUGGUAAACCCCAUCUGGAGCAAGCGCAAAUAGGAAUGCCAUACGGCCGCCCUUCCGUGCAUUCGGGUUGCGUGCUUGAGCUUUGCGGCGACGCAAAGUCGAGAUAAAUGGUUGCCGAUUACAGAACCCGGCUUAUAGGCUCACUCGCAUU